rnacentral:snoRNA from 1 species
AACGGUCUUGGGAAAGGCUCCUGUGUUGUUGAACCUGCCCAGUUGUGGGUGCAGCCUUGUACCAGGUAGCCCAACUCUACCAUGAAGUAAGUUCCCAGAAGUCUUUCCUGGGAUUUGAAUUUGCAAUAACAGGUGUGAGCAUUCUAGCAGCAGUUCGAUGAUCAUGUAUGAUACUGCAAACAGGA